UCGCAUAAACAUGAAAAAUACUUGUGUAUAACGGUUAUGGAAUUCACGGUUAGUAGAGCUUUCACCAAAUGAAUGGUGGAAAAUCUAAACAGUUCAACAUUUAUACUCUAAGCGUUAAGAAAUCGAGAAAAAAACUCUAAGAUAGUGCGACAAAUUGAGCAGAGCUCUUUGUUGCAGAGUAUAACAAACUUGCAAAAGGAGAGUACACAAGUUGUGAAAAGCUUUUUUCCAUAAUCUUCCGUAAAGAAUAAAACACCAAA